GUGAACUGCCUGCAAAUAAUGAGAACAUAGACCUUUAAAGUUUUAUACCUUGGACAUUGAUAGGUGCUGAAUGAGCUUGGUUCUCAUAUUCAGUAGCACCAAGAUCCAAAAUCCAGUUUUCUUUAGUUCCUAAGGCGUCUAGAUGUAACACAAAAUUCAAGUGGUGUUACCCAUUUGUUAUUUUGAUAUCAAACCAGAGUUUGAUUUUCCACUGGAUAAG
rnacentral:misc_RNA from 1 species